rnacentral:rRNA from 1 species
CAGCCGCCACGGUAAUACGGAGGGUGCAAGCGUUAAUCGGAAUUACUGGGCGUAAAGCGUGCGUAGGCGGUUCGUUAAGUCUGUUGUGAAAGCCCCGGGCUCAACCUGGGAAUGGCAAUGGAUACUGGCGAGCUAGAGUGUGUCAGAGGAUGGUGGAAUUCCCGGUGUAGCGGUGAAAUGCGUAGAAAUCGGGAGGAACAUCAGCGGCGAAGGCGGCCAUCUGGGACAACACUGACGCUGAGGCACGAAAGCGUGGGGAGCAAACAGGAUUAGAUACCCGGGUAGUCCCGUCUCUUAUACA